CGUGUAGGCGGCCAGACAAGUCCGUUGUGAAAACUAGAGGCUUAACCUCUAGACGUCGAUGGAAACUGUUUGGCUAGAGUCCGGAAGAGGAGAAUGGAAUUCCUGGUGUAGCGGUGAAAUGCGCAGAUAUCAGGAAGAACACCCGUGGCUAAGGCGGUUCUCUAGUACGGUACUGACGCUGAGACGCGAAAGCGUGGGGAGCGAACA
rnacentral:rRNA from 1 species